ensembl:snRNA U1 U1 spliceosomal RNA
AUAAUGUCCAAAUAGUGGGGCUACCAUGAUCACCAGGUUUUCCCAGAAUGAAGCCUCUUUAUUGCAUUCGAGGCAGGCUGACCUAUGCAAGUUUCCCAAAUGUGGGAAAUUCAGCUGCACAGUUCUGUGGUAAUGGGAGAUUGUGUUUGUGUUUUCUCCUU